AUGGACCCGGAACUCGUGCUCCACCUCCAGAUCGCCGCGGUGGUCGUGAUGGCGGUCAUCAUCGUCGCCGUGGCCGUCAUGGCCACCGGUGGAGCCUGCGACGACGCGGCCGGCGCCACCGGGAGCGCCGCGGUGCACGACGCCGACGUCGAGGCCGCCCUCGGCGACGACACGCUCAUGACGUACGAGCAGGCGGCCGCCAGGAAGAAGGAGAAGGAGAAGGGGGAGGGAGAGGAGGAGCGGUGCGCCAUUUGCCUGUCGGAGUACGGCGAGGGCGAGGCCGGCGAGCUGGUGCGGGUGGUGCCGGCCUGCGGGCACUUCUACCACGCGAGCUGCGACGUCGACCGCUGGCUCCGGAAGCGCCGGACGUGCCCGCUCUGCCGCGGAGGGCUCGGGCCGCCGCCGCUGCCGGGGCUGCCGCGGUCGGAGUGCCCGCCGAUGCCGCCGCGGAUGACGUCUUUAGCUUAG
rnacentral:rRNA from 1 species